UACGAAGGGGACUAGCGUUGUUCGGAAUUACUGGGCGUAAAGGGUGCGUAGGCGGCUUUCUAAGUCGGAUGUGAAAACUCUGGGCUCAACCCAGAGCCUGCAUCUGAAACUGGAGAGCUAGGGUUUUGGAGGGGAAAGCGGAAUUCCAGGUGUAGCGGUGAAAUGCGUAGAUAUCGAGAGGAACACCUGAGGUGAAGACGGGUUGCUGGGCCGACACUGACGCUGACAGCGCGAAAGCCAGGGGAGCAAACGGG
rnacentral:rRNA from 1 species